rnacentral:tRNA from 1 species
GGGGUUGUGGCUCAGUGGUAGAGCGCCCCUCUAGCACAGGCGAGGUGCUGGGUUCAAGCCUCAGCACCA